CCCGCCCCCUCCUCCAGUCGGCCCCCGAUUGGCUGCUGCCAAAAGCUCCCGCCCCCAAUGUUCAGCUGAGACCCAGUAGGAGGAAGGGGCGGGGCUUACCUUCCUUUCUAGAGAGACAAUUCGUAGCGGUAUCGGUUCUUCCACUUCACGCCGCUUGGCAAGUGGUUUUAAAUGAUGUCGAUCAUGUCAUCUCCCGCUCCCGCUCAGAAGCGUCACGGGAAAAGCAGCUUCCACGGCGGGAAGCUUCCCUGGCAAGAAAUCCAAGAACCGAGGGCACUUUCCUCCAGAUAGAAAUAAAGUGCGGAGUGAAGCUGUUGAUCGUGUGCAGGGAUCGGUGUCACCUUUUCAGGACGAGCCACAUUCUGAAAGUACCUCUCCAAGAGCAGAGAGCGGGCUGGCCCCGGGGUCACCCGGGCUGAUCUCUGGCGAUGCUGACAAGGUGGCGCGUGGUGACGAUUUUGGAAGGAGCCCCUCCCCCACCCCGACCUCCGCUCCAGCAAGAAAACAUUGAAUUUUGCAAAAACUGCUGGGGCCGAGACAGUCCUCCCGAGGCGCUGGCUCACCCGGGGGUCCCUCAGCCGGCCCAGAAUUGUCUCCGGAGGCCUCUGCCCACACGAGUGUCCUGCGCUCAUUUCUGGGGAGUCUGCAGAUGUGCCCAGGUACCUGCCACAGCUUCAGCGGCACCUUCUGCGGUGUGCAUGAGUUUCCCGUGGCUGCUAUAACAAGACCACAGCUCGGGCACUUAAAAUGAUAGAGAUUCACUCUCUACGUUCUGGAGUCUGGAAGACUGAAACGGAGGUGCUGGAGGGGAGGGUCCUUCCUGCCUGGUGUUCCUUGGCUGGCGGCAGCUCAUUCCAGCCUCUGUCUCCAUGGCCACAGGGCCUCCUUCCUGGGCCUUCUGCUCCUCUGCCCAUCACUGUAUCUGGGGCCCACCCUAAUCCAGGCCAGUCUCACUGUGAGAUGUGACCCGACUGACUUCUGAAGGAUCCUUUUUUCAAUUGAAGUCACAGCCUGAGGUUCUGGAGGGCACAUAUUUUGGGGAGACCCCAUCCAACCCACUAGAGCAGAUUUACAAUGUUUCUUUCAUCGCGGGGACACUGGUUGGAAAGGCGGCCACUGACCCACACGGGGGCCUCUUUCCUUCCAGUCACAAGCACCACGAAGGUCCACGGCUUCCAGCCGCCCGAGACCCACGUUCUUUCCGACAGCGCUGUGCUCCCUGUGUCUUCAAGUCCCGGGCUGGGAGAAGGUGGCUCCAUCUCUGGGCCCGACUCCAUCCUGACGGCGUGAAGGAGGGAGAGCCAAGGGCAGGGGUCCCGGCAGCCCUCGGCAAGCCCACCAGGGGCCGUAUUUCCGUCUCAUAGACCCAAACCGGGUCCCCUGGUCAUGGGAGAUUUUUCUUAGGACACGUUGUGGCCUCACUUCCGAGUGGAGCUCUGACAGAAAGAAAGGGGAGAGCUGGGUGCCGGGUGUGGGGGGGCUACUCACUGAAGUCCCGGUGGCUCGGGACUCUGAGGCAGGAGGAUCGUGAGUUCAGAGCCGGCCUCAGCAGCUUAGCAAGGUGCCAUCCAUGGGCUGUGAGUGGACUGUUGGGCGCAGUAGCCUCCUGAGGGGAUGAGUCUGACACCCCCACAGGGAUUGACCACCUGAUGCAGGUGAACCUCCCCCUCAGGCUCCGCCUAAGGUCCCACAUAGCACCAGAGACGGGUGUGACCUGCCAAGAAGUCAAUCAACCUGCCGACUGCCGCCCUGAGACCUCAUCCUGCCUUUGAUGUGCCCCCUUCCGUAAGCCCCGGAGCCAUUUUGCCUUUGUCUAGAUCAAAAACCCAGAUGGACUAGAUCUACGGGGGCUUCGCUUUUGUAGAUGUGUUUCCGAGUGUUUGAGUUUUGUUAUUUGUUAAUUAUUUGAGAUAUGAACUUAGAGUGGCUAUUUGGGGUGGCUAGGAUUCCUCUGGGCAGAAGAGCCCUCGGAUGAGACGCUUCCCCCCGAAAACCAGGCCCUAAGCAACUUAGUGAGACCCACUAGGUCUCUAAAUAAGAAACAAAAAGGGCUGGGAUGUGGCCAGUGGUUAAGCGCCCCUGGCUCAAUCCUGGCCCCCACCACCAAAAAAGGGAGAGUCAGCGACGAGGAGGCAGCAGUAAUGACUUUCCUGCUGAAAGCUACGCAGCCCAUCCUCAUCUGCACGGCCCACAUGGCCCCGGCAGACCCCCAGUGGCCGUGGGCGUGCCCCACGGCUCUGCCCAGCCGUGUCCUUCCACACUGUGCAGCUCCUUUGGACCAGCAGAGCCUGCCCUGAGCAAGGCAUCACCCAGGCCAGCUGAGGGGCAGCAGGUGCCGAGGAGUCCACCCAGAGCCAGGAACGGGUGAGCUGGGGGCGGGGGGACGGCGCCCAGGCGGAGCAACCCCAGGGCCCUUGCCCGCCAGCUCCUCUCCUUGGCACCCGCAUCUCAGCAAACAGGGAAGGCCGGUGACGAUGACCGUGGCUGGAGCCACAUGACAUGCAAUGGACCAUUCCAAAGCACCUGGUCCAGUGGCAUUUACUGCCUCUCCCCCGCUGGCCCUCUGAACGCGGGCAGGUUGGAAAGGAGAGAGUACGAGGAUCGCCCUCCCGGGGCAUCCCGGACCCCUGCGAGUCCACCCGCAGGACCCCUGUGCUUGCCAGCCGCAGCCAGCAGGAGGGGAGAUGGAUCGUGGCCUGCAAGCAGCUGGAUCACGGGCUCGGAGUCGGGAGGGACGCGCCGAGGGACUGUCCUGGUGCCCAAGUCCCUUCGACAGCUCCUUGCCUCCACCUCCCCCGACAGGGCGCUCCCUGCUCAGCGGGACCCCCAGGGCCUCCUAGAGCAGGUCCACGCUGCUGCCCAUCGGCCUCCUCCUGGUCCUUGCUCCGCCUCUCUCUGCUUCCUGGCUACCAGGAGCUGAGAUCCCUUUGAAUGUGCCCCUAGUUUGCCGAGCUGUGUGCGUUCCCACAGCCACGCCCUGCGACCCAUUCAAAGCUAUUCCCGGAUAAAACUUGGCUGAUUCUUUUCUCA